rnacentral:lncRNA from 1 species
CUAGAAUAUUUUAUACAUAAUCCUAUUGCAUGCAGCCUUGCUUCAGGAAUAUUCUAGAGGUGGCACCUGCAAUCAAAGCCUCCUCCUGCUCACUGUCAGUAGUUCAGUCAAUUUGGAGAGGAAAGAAAGUAACACAUCACAGCAAGUCUUCAGAUGUUUAUAGACUGCUCAGAAGAAAGCUCUCUUCAGAGUCAGUGCAAUUGACCUGAAGCCCAGGAAGAAGAAUCUUUAGGAGCCAGAGAUACAUGCCCCAUCCUCCUUCAGAGUGCCGGGGUCAGGCAGGGCCCAUGAAGGCUGAAGAGGACACCCUCCGAGCAAAACCCACUGCCAAGUGGAAAUUUACACCAAGCAAGGACUAGGAAGCUGGAUCUGCGAGGAGCCGAG